UACGUAGGGUGCGAGCGUUGUCCGGAAUUAUUGGGCGUAAAGGGCUCGUAGGCGGUUUGUCGCGUCGGGAGUGAAAAUCCAGGGCUUAACUCUGGACUGGCUUCCGAUACGGGCAGACUAGAGGUAUGCAGGGGAGAACGGAAUUCCUGGUGUAGCGGUGAAAUGCGCAGAUAUCAGGAGGAACACCGGUGGCGAAGGCGGUUCUCUGGGCAUUACCUGACGCUGAGGCGCGAAAGCUAGGGGAGCGAACUGG
rnacentral:rRNA from 1 species